CUCCUCGGGCCUCGCCUGUCGCUCAGGCUUCCCAACACUGGAGGUCAUCCCCCCAGCAAUUUGCUACUGUUUGGAGGCCUAGCCCCCGAGCAACCUCCCCCGCUGGAGGUGCUCUUAAUUCACAUGGAGAGAGUAAAAAGGUCUACAAACCUCAGAGUAAUUUUUGUAAUUUUCUCAUUUCAUCAACCAUCAUCAGAUCCUCUUCUCCAUCAAACUCUGAAAUUGGCAAUGGAAAUCCUAAUGGAUGUCAUACGCAAAUGCAAAUCUCGGUUCCAAAAGAAGCUACGAUAUCAUAGGACCCAGACGACACGCUUGCCGAAUCUACCUUCCGUCGAAGAAAUCUAGCGAGUUGGAUCAUCGCCACCGUACUUGAGGUGCAAGCAGUGCAAACAUCACAAAGUACAUCCUUCAUCAUCUGUAUUUGUCCGUCGUCUUGGAUCAUCACCGGUGUACUUCACGAUCCCAUGCCAUCUAAAUAUCAUUUAUAUAGCACCGUGACGGAGCCAAUAUCGACUGUCGGGCUAACGGAAGUUGAUUCUCAAAGGACAUUAGUGUUGGAAGUGUUUUGUUUGUAAGAUGAGAAGGAUAAGAAAAUUCAAGAAUUUACUGCAAAGCUUUGGAACGAGAAACGGCUGUGCACAACAUAUCAAGAACAGCUUCGGAACAAUAAAUUUUCUCUUCAAAGAGACCUGUUUCUGAAACGAUACCUCGUGAUUGUGGCUUCUUGAGAUGUAUGUGACCGUACCGACACAUCUUUCUUAACAGAUAUGCAUAUAACAUAUAUACAGAAUCUAUAGUGCAUGAUGGGUAUCUGAAAAUCUGCAUUAGCUUUCUAUUGUUUAAAAGGACAAAACGGAAUUGGAUAUCCACACAUGUCACACUGAUACUGGCCCUUAAUUUAAUAGAUUAUACAAGGCUAGUAUCGGCCCAGAAUGAUGUAAUUUGUCAUUGGACUAUCAAAUCCCAGAUGAAUUGGUAUGAAUGUUGAUUACAAUAGUCUGAAUGUCCAUGACAAUGAAUAUGCAUGCUGUACUUUUCAACUAACUUGGACGAUAAGGAAUUAUGGUCUCAAAUAUAUAUGUAGGACCAUGGUUUCUUAGCCAUUAUGGCGUUUGAAAAAUUGUUUCUUAUUGGAAGUUGGAGAAAUCCCUUGAUCUCAGUGGAUUGGUUUCUAUAACUACUGCAUAACUGUCAUGUGCAACGAUGCUAAGGUUGUAAUCUAGUUUGAGAAUUGAGAUCAGUGAAGGCAUAUUCUUAAGGGUAAGGCCUUCAAAUACAUGUAUUUGCUUUAUUAUAUUUGCAAUUAGUACUAUUCCUUCCAUGGGAAAAUGGUAAAGUAUUUGAUAUUAGAGAUUCCAUAUUUGUCAUCUGCAAACUUUGUGAAAGUAGAAAGGUAAGUUCUGAUAAGCAUGAGUUGCUUACUAGUAAAAGGCCUAAGAAAUGAGGAUGGACUAAGAGAACGUAUCUUCAUAGUUUUCCAAUUUUUAAGUAUGAAGAAUGGUAUUGAUAGUAUUGAAAGCACAAUAUGAGGGAAUUGUGGGGCGUGGCAUAGUCAUCUUUUGGGGUUGAUAUAUAUACUUAAGAAACAGGAAAAAAGUAA